ensembl:lncRNA
GGGGGGGGGGGGGGCGGCAGGAGAAAGGGGUAAGAAAGAGAAAGAGUGUGUGAGAGAGAGAGAGAGAGAGAGAGAGAGAGAGAGAGAGAGAAAGAGGGAGGGAGGGUGGAGUUUGGAGUUUAGGGUUAGGGUGUGGGGAAAGACUAGGCCCGGCUAUGCCGGAACCUAAGUGCACGGUCCAUCCAUGGGACUGGUAUUGGUGCCCCCUGAUCAAAAAAUUACCCUAAGCGGGUGUAGUGCACUGUGGUGGGCCUUCGCGACGUUUCGGCUUCUCUGAGCCUUCUUCAGGCUGGCCCACCCGCUUUUGUGUUCUGUUUCGCCACUCUGGGCCUUUUAUACUUUUCUUUUUCCUUUUCGUUUUUCUUAACUUUUUCUGUUUCUUAGUUUUUUCUUGUUCUCAGCUUUGGCUGCUUACUCUCCCUUUUUCUAUCUUUUUCUGUUGUUCUUUAUCUUUCUGUUUUUCUUUAUCCUUCCCUUUGUAUUUCUGUUAUUCUUUAUUCUUGUUCUUUAUUCUUUCUGUUUUUCUUUAUCUUUCCCUUUGUAUUCUGUUGUUCUUUAUUCUUUCUGUUCUUUAUUAUUCCUCUUAAUUUCUCUUGUGUUCUUUCUUUUAUUCUUUCUCAUAUUUCUUUAAAUGGCACCCCCUUCUCUUUAGACAUCCCGUCCGUGGUCUAUAUUUUUCUUUUAUGGCACCCCCUUCCUGUAAAUCCUUUCCUUUUGUACUUUGUCUUUUUUCUGACCUUUCUUGUCUUUUUUUCUCUUAGCUUAGGCUUUUAAAGUUCCCUUAGAGUUAGGGCUAGAGGGGGAGGGGGGAGGGGGGCAAAGGGGUUAGGGUUAGGAUAAGGUAGUGGGUGGGGGGCUCCCCACAAUGAGGGAGAGAGGAAAUGGGCAGGGGCACCACCAAUCCCAGGAGGCACAGGCUGGUUAGGGUGUGGGGAAAGACUAGGCCCGGGUUAGGGUUAGGGGGGUUAGGGUUAGGGUGUGGGGAAAGACUAGGCCCGGCUAUGCCGGAACCUAAGUGCACGGUCCAUCCAUGGGACUGGUAUUGGUGCCCCCUGAUCAAAAAAUUACCCUAAGCGGGUGUAGUGCACUGUGGUGGGCCUUCGCGACGUUUCGGCUUCUCUGAGCCUUCUUCAGGCUGGCCCACCCGCUUUUGUGUUCAGAUGUGCCACUCUGGGCCUUUUAUACUCUUCCUUUUUCAUUUCUGUUUUUCUUAACUUUUUCUGUUUCUUAGUUUUGUCUUUUUCUCAGCUUUGGCUGCUUUAGCUCUCCCUUGUUCUAUCUUUUUCUGUUGUUCUUUAUCUUUCUGUUUUUCUUUAUCCUUCCCUUUGUAUUUCUGUUAUUCUUUAUUCUUGUUCUUUAUUCUUUCCUUUUUUCUUUAUCUUUCUCUUUAUAUUACUGUUGUUCUUCAUUCUUUCUGUUGUUCUUUAUUCUUUCUGUUUUUCUUUAUUAUUUCUCUUUAUUUCUCUUGUGUUCUUUUCUUUAUUCUUUCUCAUAUUUCUUGAAAUGGCACCCCCUUCUCUUUAGACAUCCCGUCCUGUGGUCUGUAUUUUUCUUUUAUGGCACCCCCUUCCUGUAAAUCCUUCCUUAUGUAUUCUGUUCUUUCUUUCUGAACUUUCUUGUCUUUUUCUCCUUUUAUUUAGGCUUUCUUAGAGUUCCCUUAGAGUUAGGGCUAGAGGGGGAGGGGGGAGGGGGGCAAAGGGGUUAGGGUAAGGAUAAGGAUAAGGUAGUGGGUGGGGGGCUCCCCACAAUGAGGGAGAGAGGAAAUGGGCAGGGGCACCACCAAUCCCAGGAGGCACAGGCUGGUUAGGGUGUGGGGAAAGACUAGGCCCGGCUAUGCCGGAACCUAAGUGCACGGUCCAUCCAUGGGACUGGUAUUGGUGGGUUAGGGUUAGGGUUAGGGUUAGGGGUUAGGGUUAGGUUAGGGGCCUAUUGAUCUUGUACAGUCACUAUUGUGAGUCCGGUGCACUGGCAACAGCUGCCUGGUCACUGUCACUCAUGUCUCACCCCUUGUGGCAAACCAGUCUAUUAUCACUCUCAUUAGAAGAAAAAAAAUUCAAUUGAAGACACAAUAUUCUUUUUUUUUUUUUUUUUUUUUUUUUUUUUUUUUUUUUUUUUUUUUUGCCCCAGCAUGUACCUCUCCAACUUUUAUUGUCAUGUCAAGAGUCUCACAAAGCAGCAAUAAUUGUCAAUACAAUUGAAAGGGAGCAAUUCAGACUGCGUUCAGGCCCCGUGGAUGUUGAGUUCGCAGUCUGGAAAUCCACAAUCUCUCAUAUCUCCUCCUCUGGCCCUCCGUCCAUGUCGCACAGGUUUGAAGUCCCGUUAUACUGAGAUGUUGUAAUGUGUGAAUUUGGAAGUGCAAUACUAGUGGAGUGUCCAGUCCAUUCCUCUCAAUAUUGUAAAUAUGUUGUUUUAACCUCUCCAACAGAGUUUGACCUGUUUCACCCACAUAGAGUAGACCACAUUCUUCGCAACAGAUGCAAUAAACGAUGUUGCUCGUGUUUAGGGACAUUCUCUGUAAGAUGGGUGCCCCUAUUUUCCCAUAAGGAUUAUACAAGAACCGUUUCGGUUGAAAGGCCCAAUGAUUGGGUUUCCCCGAUCUUAUACGUCUCAUCUGUUCUGGCAACUUGGCCCUGACGAGCAUAUCUCUCAGAUUCUUGUUCCUCCUGUGGGCUGAAAUCACUCUGCAGUCUUGGAGUCGUAUCAAACCAGAGGUGUAUUUCUUAAAGUUUGUUUUGAGUUGAUGAUGCAAUGGUAGGUGAGAACGCGAGUAAGUGGUAACUAAUGGCAUAAGUCUAUUCUGUUCUCCCUGUUGUAUCUGAUUUUGAGUCUGAUUUCCCCUCAUUGCAUUAGAGUUUAGUCCAGCAAGGGUGCUGCUCUUAAUUGUUCUAAGGAACCUACUAGAAUAUCCCCUCUUCCUGAGGCUCCGGAAUAAUAUGCCAAUUGCAUCCUGAAGAUCUGAUUCCUUUGAAGAAAUUCUAUAGAACCUGAUGAUUUGGGACUUUAUGAUAC